rnacentral:rRNA from 1 species
UACGGAGGGUGCAAGCGUUAUCCGGAUUCACUGGGUUUAAAGGGUGCGUAGGUGGCUUUGUAAGUCAGUGGUGAAAGCCCGGAGCUCAACUCCGGAACUGCCAUUGAUACUGCUUAGCUUGAAUCACGUCGAGGUGGAUGGAAUAAUACAUGUAGCGGUGAAAUGCUUAGAUAUGUAUUAGAACACCGAUUGCGAAGGCAGCUUGCUAAACAAAUAUUGACGCUGAGGCACGAAAGCGUGGGGAUCAAACAGG